GACGAACCGUGCGAACGUUAUUCUUAAUCACUUUUCUUAAAUCUCUUUUAUUCGGAUUUUUACUUCUUCCACUGAAAGCCCCCGGCUCAACCGGGGAAGGGGUGCCGAAACGGCCCGUCUGGAGGGGCGUAGGGGGACCUGGAACUUCCGGUGGAGCGGUGAAAUGCGUUGAGAUCGGAAGGAACGCCCGUGGCGAAAGCGAGGUCCUGGACGUCAUCUGACGCUGAGACGCGAAAGCUAGGGGAGCGAACGGG
rnacentral:rRNA from 1 species